GAUGAACGCUGGCGGCGUGCCUAAUACAUGCAAGUCGAGCGAACGGACGAGAAGCUUGCUUUUCUGAUGUUAGCGGCGGACGGGUGAGUAACACGUGGAUAACCUACCUAUAAGACUGGGAUAACUUCGGGAAACCGGAGCUAAUACCGGAUAAUAUUUUGAACCGCAUGGUUCAAAAGUGAAAGACGGUCUUGCUGUCACUUAUAGAUGGAUCCGCGCUGCACUAGCUAGUUGGUAAGGUAACGGCUUACCAAGGCAACGAUGCAUAGCCGACCUGAGAGGGUGAUCGGCCACACUGGAACUGAGACACGGUCCAGACUCCUACGGGAGGCAGCAGUAGGGAAUCUUCCGCAAUGGGCGAAAGCCUGACGGAGCAACGCCGCGUGAGUGAUGAAGGUCUUCGGAUCGUAAAACUCUGUUAUUAGGGAAGAACAUAUGUGUAAGUAACUGUGCACAUCUUGACGGUACCUAAUCAGAAAGCCACGGCUAACUACGUGCCAGCAGCCGCGGUAAUACGUAGGUGGCAAGCGUUAUCCGGAAUUAUUGGGCGUAAAGCGCGCGUAGGCGGUUUUUUAAGUCUGAUGUGAAAGCCCACGGCUCAACCGUGGAGGGCCAUUGGAAACUGGAAAACUUGAGUGCAGAAGAGGAAAGUGGAAUUCCAUGUGUAGCGGUGAAAUGCGCAGAGAUAUGGAGGAACACCAGUGGCGAAGGCGACUUUCUGGUCUGUAACUGACGCUGAUGUGCGAAAGCGUGGGGAUCAAACAGGAUUAGAUACCCUGGUAGUCCACGCCGUAAACGAUGAGUGCUAAGUGUUAGGGGGUUUCCGCCCCUUAGUGCUGCAGCUAACGCAUUAAGCACUCCGCCUGGGGAGUACGACCGCAAGGUUGAAACUCAAAGGAAUUGACGGGGACCCGCACAAGCGGUGGAGCAUGUGGUUUAAUUCGAAGCAACGCGAAGAACCUUACCAAAUCUUGACAUCCUUUGACAACUCUAGAGAUAGAGCCUUCCCCUUCGGGGGACAAAGUGACAGGUGGUGCAUGGUUGUCGUCAGCUCGUGUCGUGAGAUGUUGGGUUAAGUCCCGCAACGAGCGCAACCCUUAAGCUUAGUUGCCAUCAUUAAGUUGGGCACUCUAAGUUGACUGCCGGUGACAAACCGGAGGAAGGUGGGGAUGACGUCAAAUCAUCAUGCCCCUUAUGAUUUGGGCUACACACGUGCUACAAUGGACAAUACAAAGGGCAGCGAAACCGCGAGGUCAAGCAAAUCCCAUAAAGUUGUUCUCAGUUCGGGUUGUAGUCUGCAACUCGACUACAUGAAGCUGGAAUCGCUAGUAACCGUAGAUCAGCAUGCUACGGUGAAUACGUUCCCGGGUCU
rnacentral:rRNA from 1 species